rnacentral:rRNA from 1 species
UACGGGGGGAGCAAGCGUUGUUCGGAAUUACUGGGCGUAAAGGGCUCGUAGGUGGCCAACUAAGUCAGACGUGAAAUCCCUCGGCUUAACCGGGGAACUGCGUCUGAUACUGGAUGGCUUGAGUUCGGGAGAGGGAUGCGGAAUUUCAGGUGUAGCGGUGAAAUGCGUAGAUAUCUGGAGGAACACCGGGUGGCGAAGGCGGCAUCCUGGACCGACACUGACGCUGAGGAGCGAAAGCCAGGGGAGCAAACGGGG